rnacentral:rRNA from 1 species
UACGUAGGGUGCGAGCGUUGUCCGGAAUUAUUGGGCGUAAAGAGCUCGUAGGCGGUUUGUCGCGUCGACUGUGAAAACCCGAGGCUUAACCUCGGGCCUGCAGUCGAUACGGGCAGACUAGAGUUCGGUAGGGGAGACUGGAAUUCCUGGUGUAGCGGUGAAAUGCGUAGAUAUCUGGAGGAACACCGGUGGCGAAGGCGGCAUCCUGGACCGACACUGACGCUGAGGAGCGAAAGCCAGGGGAGCAAACAGG